GACGAACGCUGGCGGCGUGCCUAACACAUGCAAGUCGAACGGAGUCGGCCCCGCAAGGGACUGACUUAGUGGCGAACGGGUGAGUAACGCGUGAGCAACCUGCCUUUCAGUGGGGGACAACAGUUGGAAACGACUGCUAAUACCGCAUAAUGCAUUUUGACCGCAUGAUCGAGAUGCCAAAGAUUUAUUGCUGAAAGAUGGGCUCGCGUCUGAUUAGAUAGUUGGUGAGGUAACGGCCCUCCAAGUCGACGAUCAGUAGCCGGACUGAGAGGUUGAACGGCCACAUUGGGACUGAGAUACGGCCCAGACUCCUACGGGAGGCAGCAGUGGAGAAUAUUGGGCAAUGGGGGAAACCCUGACCCAGCAACGCCGCGUGAAGGAAGAAGGCUUUCGGGUUGUAAACUUCUUUUACCAGGGACGAAGAAAGUGACGGUACCUGGAGAAAAAGCCACGGCUAACUACGUG
rnacentral:rRNA from 1 species